rnacentral:misc_RNA from 1 species
GAUGAAGAACGUAGCGAAAUGCGAUAAGUAAUGUGAAUUGCAGAAUUCAGUGAAUCAUCGAAUCUUUGAACGCACAUUGCGCCCGCCAGUAUUCUGGCGGGCAUGCCUGUCCGAGCGUCAUUUCAACCCUCGAACCCCUCCGGGGGGUCGGCGUUGGGGAUCGGCCCUGCCUCUUGGCGGUGGCCGUCUCCGAAAUACAGUGGCGGUCUCGCCGCAGCCUCUCCUGCGCAGUAGUUUGCACACUCGCAUCGGGAGCGCGGCGCGUCCACAGCCGUUAAACACCCAACUUCUGAAAUGUUGACCUCGGAUCAGGUAGGAAUACCCGCUGAACUUAAGCAUAUCAAUAAGGGAGGA